GGUUAAAAUUUUUCGGCGGAUUAUUUCAAUCGGUUCUGUUUAUUUUCUUAAUGUUUGAUGCAUUUAAAAUUAAACAUUGUUAAUGAAUCAAUCUUUCAGAUUCAUUCUGAAGUACUUUUGAAUUAAAAUAAAACAGAAUAAAGGAAAUUAAAAAUUUCUAAUCCGCAUAGCGUUACCCCAACUGGCGUAGAAAAAAUCACGUAUUUGCGUUACGUAACCGGCGAAGAAAAUUCAUACAUGCGCAUUCUGUUCUGAUUGUUGCCAUGACAACGUUAUCAAUGGAUGAUUUAAAUUAUUUUUGGGUUAGUUGCAUGCUUUUAUUUUGUCCGAGACCACCUCUUUCAACCAGCAUCCAGGUUCUGUACUGGAAUUCCAACCUGUCAGAAUUGAAAAAGCAUCCACUAUAUUGGCAGAAAAUAUAUUUGAUCGCGGGAAAAUAUAUUCUAUACUCUAAUUUAUAAUUCUCGUCCAAGACAUUCAAUCCUUUAAUUCUUUAUAAAGCUGGAUAACUAAAUAUAUGAAAUUAUCUAAUGAUGCAAGACAAAUUGGACCAAACUUCAAGUGGGAUAUUCGAAGUUAAAUCAUCUAUACUUAUAAUAAAGCUCAAUGUGUGUGUGUGUGUGUGUGUGUGUUGGCGCUCUACAGGCCAGACCGUUCGACCAACAGCUACGAAAUUUGGCACGUGUAUACCUUGGAGGCUGGGAAUGUGCACCUCGGGAUUAUUUUUUCGAAUUUUUAAUUAAAAUUUUAUUUAUUUAAAAAAUAAGCGAAAUUUUAGCGUGUUUCUGCUAUAACUUCCGAAAAUAUUACCGCACAAAAAAGAUUUUUACAUCAAGUUAAAGAUCAAAAAUUUAUCUUUUAAAUGAUAGCAAUGUUUUAACCUUAAAAUUAAAUUUCUAUUUUUAAUUAAUUUUUAAAUGAAUAAUUUAACUAUAUUUUUCAACAAUUUUUUUCGUACAAAAUAAAAAUAAAAUUUAAGCUGCACGAGCACGUUUCGCACUCAUGGGGGAAAAAAUUAGCUUUUUUCAAAGUCUUGCCAUCACAUCGAUUAAAGCUCCAUUUAAAAAUAAAUUAAAUCUUUUUUGGAAAUGAAAUCUGGAAAAAUAUGAUUUUCGUCACGUGUCUGUAGGAAAUGAAACAAAUAUGAAAUGUUAUUUUUUUCUAAAAAAUAAAUUCAAGAAAAAUUAUUUUAUGAUCUUUUACACUAUCUGUAUUAGUAAUCUAAUAAAUCAGUUUUAUUUUA